UCCGUAGGUGAACCUGCGGAAGGAUCAUUACUGAGGUUUCCCGGCGCAAGCUGGGGAGAACCCGACCUAUUGUCAUCUGCACGUUGGGGAGGAACGGUUGGCGUGUUGGACGUGUGGCUUGUGACGGAUCGUACCCGAGAGGGUGGAUCCGGAGCGGCCCGCGCUGCCGCUGCCGCCCUGACGAACCUGAACUUCGGCGGAAGAGGUAGGCUGGACCUGCCCGCCGCCGGCCGUAACUUAUUUUACUCUGCAACGAGAAUCUGAAGCCUGAUGUACCCAAACAAAAUGAAAAGCAAAACUUUCAACAACGGAUCUCUUGGCUCUGGCAACGAUGAAGAACGCAGCGAAACGCGAAAGGUAAUGCGAAUUGCAGAAUCAGUGAGUCAUCGAAUCUUUGAACGCACAUUGCGCCUCUCGGUAUUCCGGGAGGCACGCCUGUUCGAGCGCCAUUACACACCCCAAGCUCGGCUUGAUGUUGGACGCUGUCUGUGAAAGGACAGGUCUGGAACGCGUGGGCGCCGCCGCCGGACCACGAGCGGUAGCAAGGACGGCAAGGUCCAAAUCGGCUCUGUGGGGGCUUACUCGGGGUGGGACGGGCCGGUCUAGGAUGGCUGGGGGGGGUAACACCUGGCGUCGGAA
rnacentral:rRNA from 1 species